CCUGGGCAGGAGUUGGCACAUUUUCCUCUGUGCACAGAUCUUCCCCGUGCCAGGCUUACAAAAGGAAGUUUCCGGAGCUGAGCAGCUUUUCAGGAGCUCCAUGGCCAGUUCACCUCCCCAUUCUGACACCUAACGCCGUGAGGCUCCGUCCUUGAAGAGAUGUAACAUGUUCUGGAGAAGAUGUCAAGGGUCACUUCGAAGUGUGCACAGGUGAGUUAAUGAGAGCUGCUGCCUUUCAAUGUGGGCUACUGACGCUUUCUCCAACAGGUAGGUGUCUUGUGUGCAAAGGCCAAUAGUAUUUCCUGCAAUCUGGAGGCAGAUUCUGCUCACAAUCUCGAGACACAGCAAACUCUCCCCACCCGAGAAGAGGAUGGGAUGAGGCACACUGAAGAGGAAAGAAAACUGAUCCUGUAGCCACAGAAAAACAGGACUGAGACCAGGAAGGGCAAGUCGUGUGUGUCAGCAUUGUGGACCUUUAUAUAAAUAAUAAUUUUCCAGUGGGAACUGUGAUCUCUUCUUGUCUCUUCUAUUUUUAAAUGCUAAUUACUUCUGAUUUUGUUUACGUAGGCGGAGCUAAUAAGAACAUUUGCUUCAUAACCAUUGAACCUAAUGUAUCUGUUUUUGGACACUGGUGAUUUAUUUUUGCACACAUGCUCCAAAUUGGUGCUAAUUACUUUAAAGGAUCAGAGUUUCUAUUCCAAGAGGGAUGACGACAGAAUGUCAAUUUGGAGUCUCUGAGCAUAAUGUCCCAAUUAUCAAUGCAUUCCAGACCAGAAUGGACUUGGCACCUUCUUGAAGGGAUUUGGCUUCACUUUUAUCAGCCAGUCCCUGGUUGUAGCUUCAUUAAAACUUGCUUUCUAGUAA
rnacentral:lncRNA from 1 species